AUACGGAGGGUGCAAGCGUUACCCGGAAUCACUGGGCGUAAAGCGCGCGCAGGCGGCUAUUUAAGUUGGAUGUGAAAGCCUACGGCUCAACCGUAGAACUGCAUCCAAAACUAUUUAGCUAGAGUGUGGGAGAGGAAGAUGGAAUUAGUUGUGUAGGGGUAAAAUCCGUAGAGAUAACUAGGAAUACCAAAAGCGAAGGCAAUCUUCUGGAACACUACUGACGCUGAGGCGCGAAAGCGUGGGGAGCAAACGGGAUUAGAAACCCUAGUAGUCC
rnacentral:rRNA from 1 species